GCGCUGAAAGUGAAGCCGAGCGGAUGAAGAAAUCCCAGUCUGACCGCUGCUGAUCAACACUGUCCCUGCUCCACUCCACCUGCUGCUGCUGCUGUUGGACAACGAGGACACAGCGACCCCUACAGGUAUAUCACACCCUACACCAGGAAAGCGCAUGUGCGUCUGGCCCGCGCGCGCGUGUGUGUGUGGUGGUAUUUAUCACUUUGUGGGGAAAAAAGUGUGUUUUUUUCCCCACAAGGUGAAACUGGAGUGUCUUUUUUUUCAUGAAUGCAGGAGCUCCUCUGAUGUUGCCUGUGUGAUAUUUCGAGUUGGCCCAAAAAGCAAGUUUAUCCAUCAGAGUGUGUGUGUGUGUGUGUGUGUGUGUGUGUGUGUGUGUGUGUGUGUGUGUGUGUGUGUGUGUGUGUGUGUGUGUGUGUGUUUGUGUGUGUGUGUGUGUGUGUGGUGUGCACAGUAGUCCCCCCUUCAGUUUUUGGCUGGUAAUGCACUUGUUGCUCCACACACACAGUUAUUGCAAAUAUGGAUAGGAACCACCUACUUCCCAGUCCACAGUCGGAACAAUUUUAUCACCAAUAUCAUUUUAAGUGUUUACUGUAAGUCAGUUCUAUGUGUACGAUCGCAUUACAACUUUGAAAAGGAAAGUGUAACUUAAAUAAUUUGAGAUAACCAUCCCUAAGGUUGGUCAGUUUUUGCUAACAUUCACAUGUGGAUCAUACUGUUCACACUGCUUUCUUGUGCAGUGUAUGUUCAGAGUUUCAGUGCCAACUAAAAUCAGUUUGCAAGGAGGCAUAAUUAAAGUUAUUUGCACUUCUUUUUUCUCUUUUCCCGGGGUAACUUUAGACUUCAUUGUUGGUGUGUUGGGUUUAUUUCUGGAGCUUUAUUCAUUAAAACUUGAAUAUCGCCAUUUCAAAGUCCAUUUGGUAGUUGCCCUAGGGGUAUUUUUGCUGAUUUAAUACAAGGUGUCAGGAGGUUGAGGAGCUAGGGCCAAAGCUGGAUGAUUGUGGUUAAAAUAUAUUAAAAUUAUUCAAUAGCUUAUUUUUUUUACGUGUUACAAAGACCUUACCUUGAGACGGGACAGAUUUGACGCAUUUUAUCGAACAUGAGUGACGAACUUUGCAGUAUUUAACAAGUUACAGUGGAGAAGAAGAACUUCCUUUAACAGGCAGAAACCUUGAGCAGGACAGGACCCAUGUCUCAUUUUUUAAGACUUUUAAACUUCAGUCCUGUUUCAGCUUUUAUCUCAAACUGUAUUAGACUUUCAUCUUUGUUUAUAGACUUUAAUCUCCUAAUAAAAAAUGACCGUAAUGUUAUUAUAAAAAGAAUGUCAUGUGGUAAUAAAUGACUAAUUAAUUCAUGCAGUAAAAGGACUUUAUCCUUGUUUUAUAAUGACCUGUUAAGUCAUUAUUUCAAAUCUAAUCCUGUUAUAUACUGACUUAAAACUCAAAAGGUAUUUUCACUUAAGUCUUGUCAUACAAUGACUUAUGACUCCUAAUAUAUAAUGACUUCAAACUUGUCAAACCAUGAUUUUAACUCAUAAGAUUCAAUGAUUUGUAUCUUGUUAGAAAUGACUUUUAACCUCUAACUUAAAAAUGACUUUAAAACUGCUAUAGAAAUGCUUUCAUCUUUAUAUAUUAAAUUACUUUUAACUUGUUAUGUGAUGACUUAUCCACAAGAUAAAUACUAACUUCAAUUUGACUUUUUCCUUUAAAAGAAAAAGGACAUUAAUCUUGUUUUAUAACAACAUUUAUCUGGUGAUAUACACUUAAUUUUAAUCUUGUUAUGUGAUGACUCUUCCGUCACAAGAUCAAGCUUGAAACUUGUAAUAUUUUGACUUUAACUCAUUGGGCUCUAUUUUCGUGCUUUGCCGGCGACGUGGCGCAGGCACAGCAUAAGUCAGGCUCGCUGUACCGACAAGGUGUUGCCAAGCCCAAUUUGGUAUUUUGGUAAGCGGCCCAGCCCGGCGUAAGUAUCCCCCUCCCUAACUCAGCUCCUCCCAGCGGCGUAAAUCGUAGGGAGGGAGGAGAGAGGGCGUGGAGUGGGUUUAACACAGCCGAGACCUGUAUUGACCAAUAACAUAAGCUCCUCUCCUCGCCUUUAAAUCCACCACCGGACAAUUUACAAUUUACAAUUACAAUUUUCGUGAAAUAGUCAGAGAUCAAGAGAUGUCUGAAGACAGCGAUGCCACACGAUGGCGACAGAAGGCAGCCGCUCAACAAGUGUCGCUGUAAGCGCUGCAUUGGGCGUCCUCCACACUCUCUCAUAUAAGCACAGAUGGAUUUGGUGUGUGUAAUGUUGGACCCACCGGUAAGACAAACACCCUUCUCCACAAAUAAAGACACUCACAUCAAGUUGCACAUAUUUAAACCUCACGCAACAAAGGUGGAUUGUGCGCAGCGAUCACAUCAUAAAUUCCAAAAAUGGCAUUAAAAUCGGAACCAUCUGUGGCCUCAUGCUCAUGCACGCAUCAUGCUCCGUGGCCUGGCUCUUUCUUUCAUAGAUGUUGGCAUAUAAAAUAAAUUUGGCUCACAAAACUGAAUAUUAUAAUAUUCGUAUGUAGGCUUCAAGUAAAUAACUCAUCUGAGCACUGAAACAAAUCAUCUGUUCAGCCUGUGCAGCUGCAGCAGGACGGGGAGAGGACACGGAGACGUGUUCAGGUCGAGCUGCACAAGAAAUAAGAGGAAGAGGAAGAAAGAAAAGGAGGGAGACAAAUUAAAUAUCUUGUUCACUUCAUCAUGUGUGUUUAUUAACUAGAUAUUUAAUUUAAUAUAGUGCAGUUUCAGCUGUGGUAAUUCGGUCAGGUUGUGUGUCCAAACGCAUGCCAAAUGCGCUCAUCAGAUCAGAUAUAGAUCAGAAUAUAUCUAUAUAGAUCUAAAUGUAUGUGCUGACUCAGAUUAUUAGUUGUUGUUGAUUAUUUAUUGCACUGAAAUGUGCCUGACACUGUGGAAACCUGCCGGUGAGGCAUCAGUGACGUAUGCCGAUACCCCGCCUGUCUACCAAAAUACCACUAGACCAGCUGCGCUCCGCCUGCACUGAAAGUUGACCAGGUUUGAAUCAGCAAGCUUUCAGCGCACUUUACACGCCGGCGGCGAGCACGAAAAUGUCACUGCACCAGCUGAUUCUGUCGACACCUCCCCCUGCCAUGCCACCACACCCAGCUUGGCAGACCUCGGUGCACCUCAGUCCAUGAAAAUACCAAACUGGCUGUACGCCGGGCUCCACCAGACGAAAAUACCACUGUGCGGGGUCCGCCACCCUUCACCGCAUCCCCGGCGGACACGAAAAUAGAGCCUUUUAUGACUUUUAUCUUGUCCUAAAAUGAAAAUAGAUAAUGAAUUUGAUCUUGAAAUAAUCUGUAGACUUUUAUUCACAGAAUCUUUUUUACCUGCAUGUGGCCCUAAUACUUGUUAGCAGAUAAAGAUAGAAAAUACAUGUUGUUUGUUUUUUUCCUUUAGGGUGCUCAUUUCUAAAUAAAUUAUUUUUUUCACUAUCAAGCACCAAAAUGAUCAUCAAUAUUUCAAUCUGUUUUUUAUUUAUCUCUGAAAAGAAUCCUUGACACAGUUCUUACAUUGUGUUGCCUUUGACGCCCCUGUGGACACUUUUGGUAUGAGUUGUGUCUUAAAGAUUUUGAUUUUAGCAAAAUCAUAGGCAGGAGAACUUUUUUUUUUACUGCUUUAGUGUAUGAAAUUGGAAAUUCAAAAGACUCAUGUUUCAAUAUUUAAAUUCCAUCAUUUUGCAUUUCUUAAUAGUUUUAUAUCUAUAUUGAUUACAGUUUGAAGAACAGGCAAAAAUACAAGAGCACCCCAAUUCACAGGUGAAAGAAGGAAGAUGGUGAACAGGAAUUUUUCGACCAUGCUCAUGCAGUCAGUUUAAAAAAAAAAAAAAAAAUUACAAUAAAACAAAUAAAACCUUUAAACCAAACCAUAAGAAAAUAGAUUCUCUAACACAGAGAACAGAAAAAAAGGAAAUGGACUGCCACCCUUGAAAGUUGUCCAUAUUUUCUAAUUCACAUGAUAAUUCUACAAAAAAAAAAAUUGUACACCUGUCAUUGCUAUCAGAUUAAACUUAUCCAAAUUUUGGCUUGGUGCAUUUAAAGCCAAUUUUACACUAAAAAAAAGAGAAAACCUUUUUCUUUGCAUACCUUUAGUGAAUUUGGUGAAUUUCCCUUCAUCUUUAUUGACCACAAAAAAUCCAGCUCUAAUUUUCCACUUGUAAUAUUUUUUAUACUAUCUCCAUUAACAUUUAGUUCCCUAAAGAUAAUUUUUACAAAAAAUUAAGACAAGAGCACACCUACUUCUUGUUUCUGCAAUGUUCCCCUUACAAUGACAUAUACGUCACAUCAGAUUUAUCAUACAUAGCAAACACUGAAAUAAAACAAACUGUUAUUGUGUCUUAUUUCUAACAGAAAUGUCUAAUUAGACAAAAAAAAAGACAAAGUUAUAUCACAAGUCCAGAAUGGUGUCUUGCUUUGAGAUAUUUUAAUCCUAAAAGAUGACUUAUUUGUGGUAAUAAAAAAUGUAAAACUUCCAAUGGAUUAAUAAAAACAAUACUUGUAAUGUUCUGGAAAAAAAAUCAUUUGAAUUUCAAAAAGACAAAACAACAAACAUUUGCUAGGAUUUUUUUUUACAGUGUAACAAGCCUCUCAGCACAGCCAGAUAUUAUUUUAUUUUACAGGGAUGAUUUACAAAAAACAAUCCUGAUUUAACAUGUUGCAAAAUUUAAUCCAAUGUAAUCUAAUCUAAUCUAAUUUAUAAAGCACAUUAAAACCAGGAGCUCUGUACAACAGAACAACAUAAAACAAGAAAUAAUCCCAAAUAUUCAGUAUCUCCACUCUGAAGAAAUGAAGAGUUUAAAUCUCUACACAUUUCCACUGUUGGUCAAAUGGCAAUAAUGAAUUUGGGAUAAUCUGAUUUUGUUAGAUUUGGGGGGCUAUUCUUCCCCACCCCCCACCACUACCACCAUCACCACCCCCAUAGGUUGAAAUUAAAUGUUUAGUACUUGAAGACAAAUAUGAAUAAAGUUCUUUUAACUUUGACUGGAGUAGAUACUCAGACCGGUAGUUUGACUUCUACUUCAGUCAAAUGUCAUUAGAGUAAGUCGACUUUGACUUAAGGAGAAUAUUUUAGUCUCUUUCCACCCCUGCAUGUCACUAGUCUCUGAUCUGAAUAAACUCAAGUGUUUAUUCUGGUUCAAUAAACUCAGCAGAACUACAAAGAAAAGGGUAAAGUCCAGCAUGUAGCGGCUGAGUGAAUGUGGUCUGGACUCUGUGGAGGAGAGUCAUGGUUUCAGAGACGCUGUAGAAGGACAGAAUACCUGCUUUGUGAUCCAGGUACACUCCUACUCUGGAAGACUGAGGACCUGAGACACGAGUGAUGACUUUGUUGUGCACAAAUGUAUAACCGUCCUCAUCACAGACUAACCUCCAAGAUUUGUCAUUGAAUCCAAAUUUACAAUCAUCUGAUUUCCCUGCUCUGCUGAUAGUCUUGUAUGCGACUGCCACAUAAACCCCUGCCCCUCUCAGCUCCACCUCCCAGUAACAACGCCCAGUCAGACUCUCUCUACUCAGGACCUGAGGUAAAUGAUCAGUGAACCUGUCUGGGUGAGCAGGAUAAGACUGUCGUUGUUUUUUAAAUGUUGCUCUUCUGUUUCCAUCAGAUAAUAACAGCCACCUGUUUGCUGUGUUUGGAUCCAGUGUGAUUCUUUGUGAAUAUCUUAAGAAAUCAGCUCUGGUCUUGGGUUCUGGUUCUGGUUCUGGUGGUUUUGACAGCAAAACAUCCACUUCAGUCACUACCUGUGAGAUGUUUGUCCACGUCUCUGUCAGAAGAUCCUGGAGUAUAUCUCUGAGCUCUGACACAGCUGCUGUCACCUCCUCAAAGUAUCUCUGAGGACGGAUGUUGAUCCUGGAUGAGUCUGCAGGUUGACCCGGUCCUGACAGUGAGGGGUAGCUGUGCAGAAACUGGUUGUGGUCCUCUGUGAGUGAGAGCUUCUGCAGAUCAGCGUCUUUCCUCUUCAGCUCAGUGACCUCCUGUUCCAGCUUUUCCUGAAGCUCUUUGACCUGACUCACUUCACGUUCCUGCUGGGAUCUGACAUGCUGCCUUACGUCAGAGCAGCGCUUCACCAUGAGACGGAUCAGCUGGCUGAAGAUCUCCUGGCUGUGCGCCACAGCUUUAUCAGCAGAGCCGUUGAUAGCCUCCACCUCCUGUUGGAGCAGCUUCACAUCUUCCUCUCUGUCCUGGAUUCUCUUCUGGAUGUUUCCUCGACUCUCCUCCAGAUCUUUCUGCCUCUCAGUCCUUUCUGCUUCAGCUGAGACUGUGUUGUGGCCUUUGUGUUGGUCCAAACAGCAGAGAUGACAGAUAGACUGCUGCUCAGUGAGGCAGAAGAUCUUCAUCACCUCACCAUGACGAGAGCAGAUGUUCUCCUGGAGCUUCUUGGAAGGCGCCACCAGCUUGUGUUUCUUAAAUGUAAGUGAUUCAAAAUGAGGCUGGAGGUGAAUCUGGCAAUAAGAAGCCAGACAUUGAAGACAGGACAUGACAGCUUUCAGUUUUCUCCCACUGCAGAAAUCACAGGCCACAUCUUCAGGUCCAGAGGGAUCAUCAAGAGCAGCUUGGUGUCCGCUCUUCUUCAGUUCCUCUACUAAACCUGCUAACAUCGUGUUUUUCUUCAGGACGGGCCUCUGUCUGAAGGUCUCUCGGCACUGAGGACAGCUGUAGAUCCUCUUCUCAUCCUCAGUAUCCCAGUGGGUUUGAAUACAGCUCAUGCAGAAGCUGUGUCCACAGG